rnacentral:lncRNA from 1 species
CAGCACCUCCCUGGUUGCCGUGGCGACCGAGGGCGCGCGGCGGGAGCUCCCCGCCCAGCGCUUGCUGCUCCUGAGGUCGGUUCGCGCCAGCUGCUCCGGCCAGGCGCGGCGCCGGACUCGGGACGUGGGGCCUGCACAGGCCGGCAGCGGGGCUCCGGGGAGAGCGGGGAACCGCGCCCGAGAGGAGGCAGUCAAGGCCCGGGGCCUGCCCGCUCUGGGAGAGACCCGGUUUCAAUCUUCGGAAGCUGCCUUUGCUGCGUCCUGGAUGCCCAGUGCCUGGCACGGAACGGGCGUUCGAUGAAGGGUGGUGGAAUGAAUCAGUCCCCUUCACUGACCGAAAACACACUUUCCCCAACCCCUUAUCCACUCUUCUCUUUUUGAAGACAGGGAAGGCUGUUAAGUGGCUGGGAUGACUCCCCGACUCAGGCGAAGGGAGAGAGGGAAGCCGAUAAAAGGUUCCAAAACGAGCACAGGGAUUAAUAAAGAUCGCAGGUGGCACUGGACUGGAGCCAGAAGACCUGGUUCCGACCCCACGUCUGCCACGAGACUAGAGUUUUCAUCUCACUGAAAAUUCAGAAUGAAAAUCAAAAACAGCUGAGGUAGUUACUCGGGUGCCUUCCUUCAGCUUAUUCAAAAGAAUACAGGAUGAACGGGGGAGGUAAGCUCGGAGCAGGAACUCAAGACUACGUUGAAUGGAAUUGAAAUGUUUACCACUCCUCCGGAUUUUUUUGCUCUUGGCUUUUCAGUUUUGGAAGUUUCCAUUGACAUAUCCUCAUAUGACAACUCUACGUUUAAUCAUUUGAGGAACUGACAGACGGUUUCCAGAGUGGCUGUACCAUUUUCCUUCCCAACAGCAGUAAACGUGGUUCAUCUUGCAAGCUUUCCGAAAGUGGUAAUUUCAGCAGGCAACCUAAGAAAACGUGAUGUCUAAAGAAUCAC